GGAGCUUGCUUUUCUCAGCUUAGUGGCGAACGGGUGAGUAACGCGUGAGUAACCUGCCCUGAAGUGGGAGACAACAGUUGGAAACGACUGCUAAUACCGCAUAAGCCCACGAUCCGGCAUCGGAUUGAGGGAAAAGGAUUUAUUCGCUUCAGGAUGGACUCGCGUCCAAUUAGCUAGUUGGUGAGGUAACGGCCCACCAAGGCGACGAUUGGUAGCCGGACUGAGAGGUUGAACGGCCACAUUGGGACUGAGACACGGCCCAGACUCCUACGGGAGGCAGCAGUGGGGGAUAUUGCACAAUGGGGGAAACCCUGAUGCAGCGACGCCGCGUGGAGGAAGAAGGUUUUCGGAUUGUAAACUCCUGUCGUUAGGGACGAUAAUGACGGUACCUAACAAGAAAGCACCGGCUAACUACGUGCCAGCAGCCGCGGUAAAACGUAAGGUGCAAGCGUUGUCCGGAAUUACUGGGUGUAAAGGGAGCGCAGGCGGACCGGCAAGUUGGAAGUGAAAACUAUGGGCUCAACCCAUAAAUUGCUUUCAAAACUGCUGGCCUUGAGUAGUGCAGAGGUAGGUGGAAUUCCCGGUGUAGCGGUGGAAUGCGUAGAUAUCGGGAGGAACACCAGUGGCGAAGGCGACCUACUGGGCACCAACUGACGCUGAGGCUCGAAAGCAUGGGUAGCAAACAGGAUUAGAUACCCUGGUAGUCCAUGCCGUAAACGAUGAUUACU
rnacentral:rRNA from 1 species